ACGCGACCCCAAGUCAGGCGGGAUCACCCGCUGAGUUU
rnacentral:rRNA from 1 species